GACGAACGCUGGCGGCGUGCUUAACACAUGCAAGUCGAACGGAAAGGCCCUGCUUUUGUGGGGUGCUCGAGUGGCGAACGGGUGAGUAACACGUGAGUAACCUGCCCUUGACUUUGGGAUAGCUUCAGGAAACUGGGGCUAAUACCGGAUAGGAGCUCCUGCUGCAUGGUGGGGGUUGGAAAGUUUCGGCGGUUGGGGAUGGACUCGCGGCUUAUCAGCUUGUUGGUGGGGUAGUGGCUUACCAAGGCUUUGACGGGUAGCCGGCCUGAGAGGGUGACCGGCCACAUUGGGACUGGGAUACGGCCCAGACUCCUACGGGAGGCAGCAGUGGGGAAUAUUGCACAAUGGGCGGAAGCCUGAUGCAGCAACGCCGCGUGCGGGAUGACGGCCUUCGGGUUGUAAACCGCUUUCGCCUGUGACGAAGCGUGAGUGACGGUAAUGGGGAAAGAAGCACCGGCUAACUACGU
rnacentral:rRNA from 1 species